GGCAAGGUGGCUUAGUGGUUAGCACACUUGCAUUACUCCUGUGGUUGAGGGUUCAAUUUACACCCCUGCCC